GGAGAAACAUGGCCAGGGGUGAACGUCUGCAGGCUGGAAGGAGAAGUCGUCAUUUGGAAGCCGCUGGCUGGUAAGGUACGUGCAUUUCCACUCAAUUAGGAUUUAAGGAGGGGUUGCAUCUAGAUGUGGGUUCCUUUUGUCCCAAUUUGCUUGCCUCGUAACACGCACGGCACAAAACUUGGGCAGGAAAAGGCUGUUUUUGUUUUGAAAGUGUAGGUCUGCCCAAGUUGGGUUCUUUCAAAAAUCCUCCUUCCCGCUGCCUUGCAAAGCGGCCCUUUGGGCUCCUGCCUCGGGAAGGACAGGCCGCAGGGUGAGCGUGGCCUGCAGGCCGGCACCUCCCCUUCCGGGCGCCUGGCCGCGUCCCCGCCCCCGCCCAGUGUCCCCGGAGCGUCGUGCACCGCGAGGGAGGCGGGUCUGAGCCCGGAGCCUUGAAUUACACGGGACGGAGGCGGGAUUCCAAGCCCUCCGACCCCGCGCAGCUGCUGUAACCCGGAGGACAAAAUGUCUUAUAUGGUGCCAUUUUUUUAAAAAAAAUCUAUGGAAAGCUGUUUUUCAUUACAACGAUCCUCAACUCUUUGGAACGGAGCCCAACACAUCUUGAGAAAGUCCUUAAAACCUACCAGUGGCAACUUCAAAAAGCGGAGGAAAAGGUCCCAUCAGAGGAAUGAAGUGACCCGUGUUCUUUUAAUGGAACGGUGUCAGUCACACACUGGAGUUGGAGUAUUACUCAGCCCUGAAGAGGAGGGGAGCCCUUACACACACACAGUGUGGAUGGACCUGAAUGCACGGUGCUCAAGAAGAGACGCAGACACGCAGGGACACACGGGGUGGGAUCCGUUCACAGGAAAUGCCCAGAACAGGCAGAUCUACAGACAGAACAUGGAUUCAUGGUUAUCAGGGACUGGGAGAGGUGGAGAGGGGGUCUCCUUUGGGGGGGUGGGGUGGAAUGUUCUGGAACCAGACAGAGGAGAUGGUUGUAUAACACGAGUGUGCUAAGUGAUACUGAAUUGUACACUUUAACAUCAUUCCAGUGGUAACUUUUGUGUUGUAUAUAUUUUACUAUAACAACAAAAUGAAACAAAGAACGUGGGGAUAAAAAUGUAUGCUUGAGAUCAGAUAAAAUGGAAUUUGCAACCCACCUUCAAUCCUGUUUCUGGGAAGUGGCUUGAAUCCUGACAGAGGUGGACCCAAGCAUGGCUACUUAGCACCCCUGCCACGUGGACUGCCCAGAAUCUGGGAGGCUGGAUUUAACCCCCUCCUUGAACAAAUGCAUCAGGUCAUCCUCUGGCUGGAGUCAUAAUGCCGUCCAUUUAGUCUUCCCAAAACAACACCUUUUCUCCCCAUGUUGCAGACCCAGCUGUCCACCUGGACACACCCUCCCAGUUGGAGAUGCACUGUUUAUUCUCUUGCAGGCUGGGAGCCUUGCAAAUGAUAAAAACGGGUGAAUCUUUCCCACGACUGGUGCAUUUUGAAUCUGUGAUGGACAGAAACCAAGCAACAGGACCGUUGCCCUCCGAGAAUCACUGUAGGCAUUUCCUACAGAGCCCUUAAAAUAGCAAUUGGCCCUUGGCCCCUUUACGUAGCCCAUCCCAAGAAACAUAAUUUUCUUUUGUGCCCAAACCAGAUGAUUGUGUGUUUUGCUUUUGAGUCCUUUUGGGCUCUGAGAUUAUAUGUAACUGUGUGUACAUGGAACUUUCACAGAUUCCUUGCAGGAUGAACUCUGAUUUGGACUCGAUCUCCCUCACGGACCCCUGCUCCUGGCUUCCACCACUUUGGGUUUCCAAACAGCAGAGAGACAACAGAACCGGUUUAGAAGCAAAACUUGCUGCCCCAGGAGAAAGGUCUGUUUGCUGGGAAUACCUACAUUGUGACAAUGUGGAGGAGCCCAGGAUUGGAAUGCCCUGGAAAUAUGACCUUGUUUCAGAGCCAACUCCGGGCUUCUAGCUGCAGAAAUGGCACAGGUUUGCCUGGAGUUGUCCUCGUUCUUGAUUAUAGGUCUGUUUUUCGUGGUCAUUCUUGUAUGAGCAUCCCUUCUUGUUCUGGCCUCUCCGUGCCCACAGCUACUGUCUACAUAGUAAUAAGACACUAAUAAUGGGUGGAAUUAGGUGAUAAAAAGUCCUGGGAUACAAGCAUCUCUUGCAGGCUGUGUAGAUGAAUCUUGCUCGAAGAGUGUCUUGGGGUCAUGGCAAUCCCACCUGUAAUGUAGCCAAGGAUGCUUCUCCACCUCAGGGGCUUGUGCUGAGGUGCUGCAGGGCAGGCUUUAUAGGAUGCAUUUAGAUGUAAGAUGGAAAUCCUCUUGCAAGUAGGCAAUUGUUUG